UAAAUAAAAAAAUAUUUUCAGAAAAAAAAACACAGUCCAUUGCAUUCAGCAACCCGUACAGUUUCCUAUCCUAUCACUACAAGCAAUCAAUCCAUCUCUCAAAAAAAAAAAGCAAUCAAUCCUCCUCCGACGAGGACGUCGACGAAGACGAGAAGGACGACGAGGACGAGGAGACCGAGAGCGACCUCCGGUAGCGAUAGCGGUAGCGGUGGUACAGCGCCGCGUCGGGCGCCCGCGCCACCCACCCGCCGCCGCGGCCGGACCCCGGCACGUAGUACUCCGGCAGCGGCAGGCAGAAGAAGGCGAAGAGGGAGUCCCCCAGGCGCCCGAGCUCCCGCGCGGGCGGCACGAGCAGCGCGCGCAGGACCUCGUCCGCGCGCACCCGGCGACGCCCCGGGGGCUGGCACAGCUCCGCCGGCGCGCGCGCCGCCGCUGCCAGGAGCGCGGCGCUGAACACCAUGAACCCCUUUGGUUCUGUCCCUCGCGCCCCCGGCUGGUCGGAUGUUUCGGAUUGGUUUUUUCCGUCGCGUUGUCGCGUGUGGUGUGUGAUUUGGGCGCGGGUUUUUAUUAAUUUUGGUGGCGUGGAGUGCGCGGGUGGAACCGUGGAAGGAAGCGCGCGGGAAGUUUUUACGGCCGCGGCCGUGGGGGGUGCCGUGCGGCGAGGAAACACAAGGGCCAGGACCCAGGACUCCAGGAGCCCUACCGGUCGUCGCUCCCGCCGCCGCGCGGGCUGGCCGCUUUGGUCGUUUUCCCGUGCGACGUGUGCAGCGCCUCCCAAAUUGUAAGUUAUUUUAAUUUUUUAAUUCAAAAUAUCUUAAGUUUGAUCAAAUUUAUAUAAUAAAAUACUAAUAUUUAUGAUACCAAGUAAGUACUAUUUAAUUCUUCAUUAAAUAUAUUUUCAUAGUAUAUCUGUUCGGUACCAUAAAUUUGUAUAAUUCUCUCUAUACUUUUGAUCAAGCAUAAAAUAGUUUGAACCUCCAAGAAAUUUAGAAUGACCUGCAAUUUGGAACGGAGGAACAAUUUAGAAUGGAGCGACAAUUUAAAAUGGAGGGAGUAGCAUGUGACAGACGGUAAAUUUGUAUAAUUCUCUUUAUACUUUUGAUCAAGCAUAAAAUAGUUUGAACCUCCAAGAAAUUUAGAAUGAUCUGCAAUUUGAAACGGAGGAACAAUUUAGAAUGGAGGAAGUAGCAUGUGACAGACGGCAGAAUGGAGUCCUGGCAGCCUGCCACAUACAACACGCGGAUGUUUCAGUUUCAUCGUGCAGAUACUGAAAUCCUCGCACGGUGUCCAGCUCGGCACUGCAGAACACCGAGUAUCGGAAGAUAACUUCUCUUAGCAUUAGUUGCACCUUCCCCGACAAUAAUUGCCACAUCCAUACUACCCAAGUGGCUAUCAGCAUUGCAUUACACGUAAACUACUCAAGUCAAAAGAGAUUAGGAACAAUAUAGGCUCAUCUGAAUGCCAUUGCACAGAACUAGUGCCAGAGGAAGUAAUCAAAAGAGAUUAGGAACAAUCUAGGCUCAUCUGAAUGCCAUUGCACAGAAUGACAGAACUUGUGCCAGAGGGAAGUAACGAAAGAAAAUAAGAUGGCAUUGGAAUCAAUCUACAUAAGACAUAACUAUGGGAACACCACUGCCAGCGCCUUUGACUUAUUCUGUGCUAGCCUUAUAUAAAUCUUCCCCAAAGAUUGCUUCACGGAUUCAGCUACUCGUGCAGGAAGCCUUUCUCCUCAAGGUAAGUAACCACCUGCCCCGCCAUGUCACAAAGUGGGGGGCAUACACCGUCCACUUCCUUGAUCUCAAUCUGCAAGAAAACCAAGAAAGUCAAACAAUUGUAGUUGUUGACCACAAACAAACAAUAGGAACUUGAUGUCAACAUAGAAAAGAAUCAAAUCUGGUUUCCUUCUAAUACCAGGAUGAACAAUUUUUCAAUUUGAUGCUUCUAGAACACCUUAUAGUAAAAAUCAUUUUUAUGCUUUCGACUUGUGUUGGGGAGUAGACACGAUAAUAACCUUAACAUCUAACAUUUCCUAGACACAACUGUCCUAUAAUAACAAACUACAUAGCCCGUUGCACCUACACAGUUGAUUUAUUUUGCAUAAAAGGAAAUGAUGAACAUGCACUUCUCUUCCUAAUCCAAUCAAUUUCCUAUGACAUUCAAUCUUCAUAGUUUCAGUAAGGCAACCAAUUUGAUAUGGACCAGAAGGAACAACUACAUUAAUGCCUUAAUAAUACACACUUCAACAUGUGAAGAAUGGCAAGAAAUCUGAACCAUUGUGUACCUCGCAAUUCAGGGGAGCUUCGUAGGGGUCAUCGAUUCCAGUAAAACCUGCAGUAAACCAUGAUUAAGCAAUAACAAACUCUAUACGAGUUAACAAAACAGGUUAAAUAGAAUGUCAUGAAGACAGUUGACAUAAUAAAUGGUGAACUAGAACCAGCAAAAUAAAGAUAAGUCUGCACAUAAACAAAGUUGCAGUGAAAACAUAGAUUCUUAAGCUUACAGAAGACAAGGCUUACUCAUUUUCCUUUUUUUUCCAUUUCUCAACUAGAGAACUCCUCCUAAACUUACAAAUGGACAUAUAGACACCUGAAAAGAAAACCUUUAGAGGCUGGGGCCCUAGCAUGCCCUGACGGUUGACCUAUAACUCCACGGUCCAGGUCAGGGACUAGAAUCCACUCCCAAAAUAAAACAGCUCAACUGAUUUUGGUUCAGCAUUUAGAAAUACGCAACAUGACCCAUGUGCAGCCAAAUGUGAAAUAACAGCAUAGUGGUAGAAUAUAACCUAAAAAGAAUGCUUAAACACAUGCUAGGUGUACCAUCGCUACACAGUGUGACCAAGGAAUCAAAUGGAAGAAUCUAAACACUGUAGAUGGUAAAAUAAAAUAUCCAUCCUCGCAGUAUAUGCAACAUCUAAAUUUGUGCUUUGUUGUGAAAUCAUAUUGUUAUUAAGGUGCUGCUUUCUCAAAACAAGCAUAAUUUGACUCGAGUAGUAUUUUUAAUUCUUCAAAUCAGGCUGUGCUUCUAACCUUACAAACAAGCCAGAAAUGUGAUUUAUAAUGUAAAGCAUUAAGUAUGAUCAAAUUUUGCUCAGCAGGACAUGCUAAAUUGAAGCAUUAAACUCUCCAAAUUAUUUCCAUUCUGGACACCAAGCAUUAUAUGAACCUCACCCUUUAUUUUUCCUGCACGAGCAAGCUUAUAAAGACCCUUUGAAUCCCUUGCUUCACACAAUUCCAAGGACAUGUUCAAGAAAACCUGCAAAAGUUCACAGGUGUUUGGUGGUAAAACUCAUGGGAUAGCUAAGUUCACUAAAGACAAAACAAAUAAAAUGGAUCCCUUACUUCCACAAAGCUACCAUCAGACAACAAAGCACGGCAAGCUUCACGGUCUCUCCUAUACGGAGAUAUCAAACUUGCAAUACAUACAAGGCCCGCAUCUGCAAAUAACUUUGCCACUUCACCUGUCCAAAAUAGUUGAAACUGUCAAUUACACAAGGCUAGAAAGUAUUAAAUAAUGGCACAAGAAGGACUCUGUUCACCAUUGUUUCCUCAUGGGAGUUUCAUUAAGUUCAAUGCAAACAUUUCUGUGUUCAGGAGACACUUACCAACUCUCCUUAUAUUUUCAGCACGAUCUUCAGCUUUAAAGCCAAGAUCCUUGUUUAGUCC
rnacentral:lncRNA from 1 species